GACGAACGCUGGCGGCGUGCUUAACACAUGCAAGUCGAGCGGUAAGGCCCUUCGGGUACGACGAGCGGCGAACGGGUGAGUAACACGUGGGUGACCUGCCCUCCACUUCGGGAUAAGCCCGGGAAACUGGGUCGUAAUACCGGUUAGGACCUCCUCAUGCAUGUGGGGUGGUGGGAAAGCUUGUGUCUUUGAUGCUUGCGGUGGGGAGU
rnacentral:rRNA from 1 species